AUCACUACAAUCAACAUUAACGUAAUGUUUGUUCUUCUCUUCUUUCAGACGAAGGAGUUGAAGUAGAUACCAUGAGUGAUGUACAUGACGCAGAAAACAGUAAAUCACUAGCAGAACGAGUUGCUGAAGCCAUUUCUGUUUUCUCUGACGAUUCCCUUGCGCCAACAAAGAAAAGGCGCACUACAGGCGUGCCGUUGUUGAUGGAAUCAAGUGAUGAGAAACCUAUGGAGUUGAAGAUUAUGUCCUUGGACAACUGAACCGUGACCAGUCGUUGGUGCUGAUGCAAUCUAUGAAGAUGACGAGUAUAUGCGUGUGUAAAAACAAAUAAACUUUUUGUUGCUUUAAACAACUA